CCGAGGAAGAAUGGAGGCAGGCAGGAGCAUUUUAAGCGCUGAAAUCGAGCGCGUACGCCAUUUUCUUUCUCUCCGUAGUUUAAUCAAAGCUUACUGGGCUUAAAAGGAACAAAAGGUUUCGCUGUCUGUCUACACGAAACGUAGGGUAGAGAGUAGGGAGUGAAAGGAAGCGGAGAGGGAGAAGAGUAGGGAGGGAAAGGGGCAGGGUGCAGGGACUCUGACGUAAGCACAUUCCUCAAAACACGUCAGCACAGACCCCUCUCUCUUUUGAAAAUACGGACCUUUUGCUGCAGUUUUCUUCUUUUUUUUUUUUUUUUUUGUUUUGGUUUUCCUUUCUCUUCUCAGUCUCACUCGCGUGCCUCUCCCUCACGCCCCAACUGUCAGAUNUCUUCUCAGUCUCACUCGCGUGCCUCUCCCUCACGCCCCAACUGUCAGAUCUCUUUCUCUCUCUAAAUUUUACUGUUUCUCACCACUGUUAACCUUUUUCAUCUUCAACCCCCUCUUCCUCUCUCUCUCUCUCUCUCUCUC
rnacentral:lncRNA from 1 species